rnacentral:misc_RNA from 1 species
CUCCAGGUCUUACAAUAUGUACUGAACCAAUCCAACCGGAAGGAACUACAAGGGCACAACUUGCUGGUGUUCAAAACCAAAUGCCACCGCCAAUAUCUGCCGCGCAGGGCUCUGAUGAUGACCAGUCACCUUCAUCUUCUGGUCCACCCGUGGAAAUCUCUGAUUCCGACCUCGAAAAAGAUGAUCAGGAAACUGAAAUAGAAGUAGAGGAACAAGAAAUCGAGAAUGAUAACGAAGAAGAAGAAUAUGAAGAGAUUAUAGUAGUAGAGGAAGAAGAGAUAGAAGAAGAAGUUGAAGUAGAAGAAGAUGAUAUGUCAGAUUCAUCAAAGGAAGCUAAUGCCAAAAGUAAUGAUGUUAGUCAAGAUACGGAGUUUGAGGGGACUGACAGGCAAUUGGGAUUACGUUCUACUCCUGGAAGGUCUUCGCUGGGGCUACCAUCUAAUUCCCUUGUAGAAGAUGGUGUCUGUAAUUCCCAAUUUUCUGGUCCUUUGAAUGAACCAGUGAAAUUGCAGGAGGAAUUGCAUGUGAACUAUGAGGAUUCCAAGUGUCUUCUUAAAUCAGGAACCAAUGGGGAGAAUGGAAGUAAACGGUCUCUAGUUAAAAACGACACUGAGGCCCUUAUGAUAAAGAAAAAAUCUAAAGAAAUCAGCAAACACUAUAGUGAUAGCAUGGCUCAUUUUUUCAACGAUGAAGCUAUGGCUGCUGAGACCACCAGUCCAUCUAGUAUCACAGGAAAUGAGGUGUCUAAUGCCUUGGCUAUAAAAAACAGCUUAGGUAUGGAGACUAAUGGUAUUCUGGAUUCUGAGGUAGAUGUUAAUCCAAUGGAAAAGCGGUCAGAGGAUAAAAAGCAAACAACAUCAAGAUUGGUUACUUUGGAGAAAAGAACUCGAAGUCUAUCCCCUUCUGCUGAAUUCGAGGAUCAGAACAAGCGCCCAGCUGUUAUAUGUGACUUUUUUUCUAAAGGGUGGUGCAUUAGAGGUAGUUCAUGUACGUUCCUUCAUAUAAAAAAUAAAACUGUUAAUGCUAAAGAACAAC